ACUGAUUUAUGUGACCCUUGUGACCCGUCGUCAUCAACCUGUGCAGCACCGUUAGUUUGUGGUUCUACAACAGAGGUCUGUGAAUGCCCUUCAAAUCUAGUACAGAUUGGAAAUAAUUGCUACGGAACACUUGUUACAGAAAGUUGUACAACAUCUACGGACACAUGUAUUGAUGAUUACGCUGCCUGUAACGGAACUAUUUGCAACUGUAUCGCCGGAUAUCAUUGGAAUGGCUCUAUAUGUACUGGCGAAAACUUAUGUGAUCCUUGUGACCCCUCAAAUCCAACAUGCGCAUCAGGUUCAGUUUGCAGCUCAAGUACGUACAGAUGUACAUGUCCGCCUAAUCAAGUACAGAUCGGCGAUGAAUGUU